UACGUAGGGUGCGAGCGUUAAUCGGAAUUACUGGGCGUAAAGCGUGCGCAGGCGGUUUCGUAAGCUGGAGGUGAAAUCCCCGGGCUUAACCUGGGAAUGGCCUUCAGGACUGCGAGGCUAGAGUGCGGCAGAGGGAGAUGGAAUUCCACGUGUAGCAGUGAAAUGCGUAGAGAUGUGGAGGAACACCGAUGGCGAAGGCAGCCCCCUGGGUCGAUACUGACGCUCAUGCACGAAAGCGUGGGGAGCAAAC
rnacentral:rRNA from 1 species